AAUGUAAAAUUUGAAUUUUAUUGAAUGUUAGUAAUGUAAUUUCAAAUUUUUGAAGUGAAAAAAGAGUGUAAAAUGUGUUAUAGUGUGAAAUUGCUUGUUGAAAAUUUUGAUUUUUUGAUCUUCAAAGCGGAAUAUCUCGAAAACUAGGCGUCUGCGGUACCUAAACCCUGUAUAUUUUUUUAAUCGGGAGGACGUGCUCUUCCUAACGGUACCCUCAGAUCGCGGCGCCAUAGUAAUCGAAAUUGUGCCGCGACCCUGUUAGUCAGGAUGUAUAAUUUUGGUAUUCUGGCUGAUACAGUCUCAAAAAUGUUCACCAAAUAGUGGUGAAAAGAAAAGCAAGCUAUCAGCUAUUAUAUUUAGAUUGCGCCUACGAGUGUAGCUAAAACAUAAGUACUUUGUUAUCCAUUAUUGCAAAAUUACAAAUAUUAAUACAUUGGGGCUAAUCAUCGAAUCCGCACGCAUUCGAUUUCGAUACGAUAAAGAUUUUCGGUCGAAAAUAUUCAUCCAAUCAUUGAUUCCCUCGAUAAACUGCUUUACCACUAGGUGAGAACGUAAAACAGUUUUAUGGACCUUUGUCGACAAAUUUGAUAGUGUCUGUGUUUUUUACUUUGUUCAAAAAAAUUAAAACCCCAAAAAAAUAUUUAAUUCGCCUGAGGCUCUUUGAGAAAAUUCUUUCGCUAUUUCGAGGAGGCAACUUUAGAUCGUUUUUAAACAUCUUUAAUUUAUUUUAGUUACUCUGUUUUUGUCUCUUGUUUCUAAAAUUAAAUGGGUAUUUUAGAAAAAAAGGAAUACGGGAGUUCUACGCGAAAAAAAUUUUGACACUCCGGUUUUGGCUCGACCAGGGUGAUUUUUUUGAAGCGCGACCGAAGACCGUCAGUGCAGAAAUGAGUUCUACGCGAAAAAAAACUUCGGACAUAAUUUAGUCCGUCAUCAGUAAUUGUUUACAUAAAAACUUCUAAAUGGUUUAUUUCUUUUACAUUUCCGCACCUCAUUCACCAACGGAUAGAUUUUGACCAAAAUUUUCGAUUUUGCGGAUUCAAUGAUUUCGUAGUUAGCGACAUCUAUUAGCCGCGGAAUGUAUUGUUCGGGUCGGUAAGUAAAAUUAAAAUUUUUUAUCGACGUAAAAUUUUUCGAUCGAAUCGAACCAUUUUUCGAUCCAAACGGAUUCAAUGAUUAAGCCCAUUAUAUCUCUUCAUCCUCUAUUUUUUUUAAUUAUAAUAUAUAUUAUAUUAGGCCAAUUGCAUCAUCCAUUAUUGUGCUCUGGGUUUUUCUGUGACCUGGUUUAAAGCACAUAACAAAUGAGAGACAGGGGCCCUAUUCUGUAACUCGAUUCGAAAAUGAAUUUUCUCGAAUUCGAAUGCUUUGAAUUGAAUUCGCUUUCGAAUAGUGAAUCCGAAUUAAGAAAAUUUGCAACUAUGUAAUUCGAAUUUAAUUGUCAAAUGUAUUCGAGUUUCGUAUAAAAUAUUCGUUAGUUUAUGAGUUGUAGAAUAAAGACGUUUUAAAAAAUGGACUCGGUUAGCAAAAGUCAGCACACUAAACAAAGCCAAUUUGAAAUAAUGGUGGAGUUUAUGGAAUCACAUCCAAACUUGGCCAAAGGCUACAUAAAAUGUGCGGACGCUAAACAAACAAGUAAGCAUUUGUGGGAGCGGUUGAGUGAAAAAUUAAAUGGAGAUGGACCACCCAUACGGGACAUGCCUUCGUGGAAAAAGGUUUGGGCGGAUUACAAAACCCACAUUAAGGCUAAAGCUCGCAAAAAUAAGUUGCAUAUGUCGGGGAGUUUAUUCCUUCAAUUCAGUUGAAUUAAGGGCAUUUGACUUACUGCAGAUAAAUCAAGCGGUGGAUGGGAUAGUAGAUGCUCAAAAGUUCGGUGCGGGAACAAGUGAAGUCACACAAAGCUACCAAUGUGAAACCACGGAUCCAAGCACUCAGAACGACAUAAGUGAUUUGCAAAAUUUUGAAGAACUACCACCUUUAACACCACCUUCUCGCCCCCAAACGUCACCCAAAUGUAGCACUGUGCGGUCACGUACCGGUAGUAAAAACAAUCUUUUGAAAAUGCAAGUAGACGGGCAAAUAAAGUUUCACAAAGAUUGUACCAAGAUUUAAAAAGACGUGAAUUACAAUUUAAAAUCUUUAGAUAAGUCUAAUAAGAAACUUCUUGAACAAAAUGAAGAAAAAAUAGAACUAGAAAGACAAAAACUAAAGUUUGCAAAGUUAAAGCAUGAGUACAAAAUUAAAAGCGAGAGGAAGAGGAACAAUAUAAGAAUUGCAAAACUUAAAAUCAAGGAACAAAUGUUAAAUGUUAAUACCCGUUAAUUUUAUUUAUUGAAAUUAAUGAAUAAUUGAAAGAAAUGAAAUAAAUGGAUUGCUUUUUAGUUACUUUAUUUAAAUUACGAGCGCAAGCUUAUUUUAAUUCGGUCUCGUAUUGUUUGCGCAAUUUGUGAAAACCCGUUUUGAACUACGUUGGGUAAAGCCAAAUUAGAUAGUUCUUGAUUCAUUUCAAUUACUGUUGGUGCUUCAACGUUGUAUAUGAGGCAAAUGUUAUGCAGGGCACAACAAACGUUCAAAAUUUUAACAACUUUUUUUGGUGCAUAGUGAAGUUCUCUUCCAGCAAGCAGGCAUCGAAAACGAUUUUUUAAAAUUCCAAAUACACGCUCGAU